rnacentral:rRNA from 1 species
AUUGAACGCUGGCGGCAGGCCUAACACAUGCAAGUCGAACGAGUGGCGGACGGGUGAGUAAUGUCUGGGAAACUGCCUGAUGGAGGGGGAUAACUACUGGAAACGGUAGCUAAUACCGCAUACCAUCAGAUGUGCCCAGAUGGGAUUAGCUUGUUGGGGGGGUAACGGCUCACCAAGGCGACGAUCCCUAGCUGGUCUGAGAGGAUGACAAGCAACACGGGAACUGAGACACGGUCCAGACGCCUACGGGAGGCCGCAGUGGGGAAGAUUGAACAAUGGGUGCAAGCCUGAGGCAGCCAUGCCGCGUGGAUGAAGAAGGCCUUCGGGUUGUAAAGUACUUUCAGCGGGGAGGCGUUACCCGCAGAAGAAGCACCGGCUAACUCCGUGCCAGCAGCGGCGGUAAUUC